AUUUAGAAUUGAAGAAGUGGAGUAACAGGAAGAGGCUGUCGGCUGGCACUGUUACUCUUGCAUACACAAGGAGAUUUAUUUUAAUCCCAUGAACUUCUGCUUUCCACAGCGAGAAGACCCCGGGGGGAGCAACCGAUGAAGUGAAACUGCUUCUAACCCAGCGUGGGGUGUCUAUGGAGGAGUUAAAGCCCAGAGGUAAAAUAACUUGCCCAAGAUGACCCAGUGAAUAAGCAGAGAUUUGAACCCAGACCUGUUUGGUACCUUCUGGAUGGUAGCUAAACCCAAAUGGAAGGCACCUGAAACCUUGAAAUGAGGUAGCUUAGGAUGUAAUCACAUCCUAAGGACGGAAUCACCGAGGUUGAAUCCAUUGACCUGAUCACCUGCCGUGGCGGCCACUUCCUCCCUUCCCAUCCCAUGCACCUCUCUCGGAAGCUUCAUGCUAUGGGACACUCUGCUAGGUGCCACGAAGUUCAAGAGACUUUGCCUACAUGUGUAUACAUUCUUAGGAAAUUUAACCACCAUACUGGUUUUCCACAGCAUCUUAGAGCACUUUGAUGAUGCCUUUCUUCAAGGUGUAGGUCAGUUAUCCCUUUCUUUUUUUUUUUUUUUAACUUUAAACAAAUUUUUAU